rnacentral:rRNA from 1 species
UACGUAGGGGGCAAGCGUUGUCCGGAAUCAUUGGGCGUAAAGCGCGCGUAGGCGGCUUUGUAAGUCCGCUGUGAAAGUCAAAGGCUCAACCUUUGAAUGCCGGUGGAUACUGCAGGGCUAGAGUCCGGAAGAGGCGAGUGGAAUUCCUGGUGUAGCGGUGGAAUGCGCAGAUAUCAGGAGGAACACCAAUAGCGAAGGCAGCUCGCUGGGACGGUACUGACGCUAAGGCGCGAAAGCGUGGGGAGCGAACAGG